CGUAAUAGCUCACUAGUCAAGUUGUUUCGCGCCGAAAAUGUAUCGGGGCUAAAGCAUAUUACCGAAGAUGUGAGUCGUGCAUAGCACUGAAUUUCCAAUUUCUAAUUUCUAAUUUCUAAAAAAUUUUCAAUGAUUCAAUUUCUAAACAUAAUAAAGUUUAAAAAUUGAAAAAUUAAGAUUUGUUUUAAAAUUAAAAAUUGAAAAUUGGGGUUUCCGCGCUGUGCGCGGCGGUAGAGGAGCAUUCUGUCCAGCAUUGAAGCUGCUUUGCGAGAAGUAGUGGAGCGGACAGAAGAGAGAAUGUUGGCAUGAGUAGCAAAAAGGCAGGUUAAAACCCUGCCCACCGUAAAUCUAAGGUUUCCUGGGCAACGCAAAUCGACCCAGGGUUAGUCGGUCCUAAGAUGAGUCCCGUGUAGUGCGGGGGUAGUCGAUGGAUGAGCUGGUUAAUAUUCCAGCGCUACUGUAGUUUUUCCUCCUACGCUCUUUGCUUCACAAAGAGCUUCGGAGGACGAGUUCUGAAAUACUAAUGUAUUUUCUGAUCUCGCCCUCCGUAGCUCCGAAUGGAGUGAGGUGCGUAGGAGGGUUCCAAUGGGGAGACGCAAUUUUAAAGUUUGAGCGUGUUCAUGGUAUACGCGUUAAUUACUCCAAGGGAUGAUCCAGGCAAAUCCGGAUCGCUAAUUUCAAGGAGUUGUUAAAAGAUGAAGCUUUUGUGGAAUCGAUUCAAAUGGAAAGAUUGCUUAAAAAAACCUCUAGGGUUAAGACUAUAGUAUCCGUACCGUAAACCGACACAGGUAGAUGAGGCGAGUAGCCUCAGGUGUACAAGAGAACUUUCGUUAAGGAACUCGGCAAACAAGCGGCCGUAAUUUAGAGAUAAGGCCUGCCCGUAGCAAUACGGGCCGCAGCUAAAGAGUCCAAGUGACUGUUUAUCAAAAACAUAGCUCCCUGCUAACUCGUAAGAGGAUGUAUAGGGGGUGAUGCCUGGCCAGUGUCUGUACGUUAAGGGGAGGGGUUAAUCCCGUUCGCGGGGUGAAGCUUCAAACUAAAGCGCAGAUGAACGCCGGCCGUAACUAUAACGGUCCUAAGGUAGCGAAAUUCCUUGUCGGGUAAGUUCCGACCUGCACGAAUGGUACAACAACUUGGACGCUGUCUCAACGAAGGACUUGGCGAAAUUGCAAGACGAGUAAAGAUGCUCGUUAAUCAUAGUUGGACGAAAAGACCCCGUGAAGCUUUACUAUAGCUUGAUAUUGAAUUAGAGGCAUGCAUGUUCAGCAUAGGUGGGACCCCGGUUUACCGGGGGCCAGUGAGAUACCACCCUUGCGUAUUUUUAAUUCUAACCCUAGACCGUUAUCCGGUCAGGGGACAGUAUCUGGUGGGUAGUUUGUCUGGGGCGGAUGCCUCCCAAAAAGUAACGGAGGCGUUUACCAAGGUUGGCUAUCCCGGAAUGGAAACCCGGGAGAUAGUGCAAAGGCAUAAGCCAGCUUUACUGCGAGACCUACAAGUCGAGCAGUUGCGAAAGCAGAACUUAGUGAUCCGACCGUUCGAUAUAGGACGGCGGAAGCUCAUCGGAUAAAAGCUACUCCGGGGAUAACAGGCUAGUCAGGUCCAAGAGUUCACAUCGACGACCUGGUUCGGCACCUUAAUUUAUAUCGGGGUGCCAUCUCGAGCAAUCGAGUAAAUAAAUUUGGCUUAUAACGGUGGACUCCAUAAUUUAAUUGGCCUUAUAAUAAGAUUAUGGACAAUACCGUGGGAAGUCUAUAUAUUUUAGAUUUCAGAUUAACGAUUCUAAAAUAUUAAUGACCCCCUAGAGACUAAUCCCGAAAGGGAGAAAUAGAAGGUACCUGAUAAUCAGGGAAUUAAACUUCUAUUAUACGCCAACUCCGUUUAUUAAUAAAAACGGAUGAAGAUAUAGUCCAAUCCCAUUAGUAAUAAUGGAAAGUAAACUGUAAUUAUACAGUUGAAUCGACAGCGAUGUCGGCUCAUCGCAUCCUGGGGGUGGAGAAGCUCCCAAGGGUUGGGCUGUUCGCCCAUUAAAGCGGUACGUGAGCUGGGUUCAGACCGUCGUAAGACAGGUCGGUCUCCUAUCCACUAUGAUCGCGGAAACUUGAGAAGGCCCUUCCCUAGUACGAGAGGACCGGGAAGGACGAAGCUCUAGUGUACCAGCUGUCCCACCAGGGGCAUCGCUGGGUAGCUACCUUCGGUUAGGAUAAACGCUGAAAGCAUCUAAGCGUGAAGCCGUCUUCAAGAUUAGGUUUCAUAGGUUCGUGAGAGACUAUCACGUUGAUAGGCUCUAGGUGUAAGGCGCGUAAGCGCUUUAGCCGAGGAGUACUAAUAAACCGUUUA
rnacentral:rRNA from 1 species